GAUUAAAUCCGGUAAAAUCUCCGCUCGCAACGUCACUUCCAAAGUUGGUUCCCUAGCACCGUAGCGUGGUAGUGAACAACUUUCCCUUCUAUCUCUUUGCGAAACGAAGCUUAGAUCUAGAUGAACGGGGAGGUUUGUGUUUGAAGGUUUUGAAAUCCCUAACACCGUUUUUCUUCGUUUUCGAAACAACGAGGAAGUAUGAAGCUGAGAAAUCCUUGCUUUCUUACCCACUAAGCUUUGGGUUUCUAUUCUUGAACAAAAGGAAGAAGGAGGAAGAAGGUGGUCACGCGAGGCAGAGGAAGAAGAUGGAUAUUGUUUUCUUUCUUUCCUUCUCUUUUCCUUUCUUUCUUUUUCCUUCCUUUCUAUUUCUUUUCUUUCUAUUUUCUUUUCUUU
rnacentral:lncRNA from 1 species